UGCAUAGGAAUUUGCCUCGAGGUGGGGGAUAGCCCGGAGAAAUCCGGAUUAAUACCGCGUAACCUUUACGAAGCAAAGUGGGCCUCUUCUUGAAAGCUCACGCCUGGAGAUAAGCCUAUGUCGGAUUAGCUUGUUGGUAGGGUAAUGGCCUACCAAGGCAACGAUCCGUAGCUGGUCUGAGAGGAUGAUCAGCCACACUGGAACUGAGACACGGUCCAGACUCCUACGGGAGGCAGCAGUGGGGAAUAUUGCACAAUGGGCGCAAGCCUGAUGCAGCAAUGCCGCGUGUGUGAAGAAGGC
rnacentral:rRNA from 1 species